AGAACACAGCCGAGAGAGAGAGAGAGAGAGAGAGAGAGAGAGAGAACUUUAUCUAUAUACAUGCAUUGUGGUCAAAUCUGGUGAGAGCAAACCGUGGAGAAAGAAAUGAAGAAAAGAAAAGGGGAAGUAGAGGAGAAUCAAUCAAAACGUUGAAAUUAAAGUUUAAGGUCAUGCGCUAUUGCCUGCCUGAUUGUGAUCUGUCUAAUCUGCUUCUGCAACUAUCUGUGAUCAGGCCCGUGACCAGGCUUAGAGGCAUCUGCCUAGAAUCUGUUUUUGUCAGCCAAC